GCCACUGUUUUUUUUUUUUCCUCAGCCUCUUCCAGAUGUUCAUUAACUACUGUUGCCUCCAUUUAUCUAAGUUGGCACACAGAAGAAGUAGAAGAUACAAGGCUCAGAAUGACUAAGAAACAUACAGCUAGUGAGUGGUACAGGCUGGAUCUGGACCCAGAUGUGUCUCGCUCCAGAAUCCAUGCUUCUUCCACUCUGUCUCUGAAUUGGGAAUCAAAAGAUCUGCCAGAAGCUAAAAGAGCAAAUGUGUGAUUGAAAAACCAAUGACUGCUCUAAACUCACCUAAAGAGUCAGUGAGAAGGGAGAAUGUUUAACAGUGAAGCGCAGAAAAGGGCAGGGUCUGAGGAGCAGAACUGGGAGA
rnacentral:lncRNA from 1 species